UACGUAGGGAGCAAGCGUUGUCCGGAAUCAUUGGGCGUAAAGCGCGCGUAGGCGGCCUCAUAAGUCCGUUGUGAAAGUCAAAGGCUCAACCUUUGAAAGCCGAUGGAUACUGUGAGGCUAGAGUCCGGAAGAGGCGAGUGGAAUUCCUGGUGUAGCGGUGGAAUGCGCAGAUAUCAGGAGGAACACCAACGGCGAAGGCAGCUCGCUGGGACGGUACUGACACUGAGGCGCGAAAGCGUGGGGAGCGAACAGG
rnacentral:rRNA from 1 species